rnacentral:tRNA from 1 species
UUAAUUUGGCAGAUUAGUGCAUGAAAUUUAGAAUUUUAUUAUGUAAUUAAUAUUACAAUUAAUAC